GGAUUAGAUACCCUGGUAGUCCACGCCGUAAACGAUGAGAACUAGAUGUCGGGAGGAAUUGCCUUUCGGUGUCGCAGCUAACGCGUUAAGUUCUCCGCCUGGGGAGUACGCCGGCAACGGUAAAACUCAAAGGAAUUGACGGGGACCCGCACAAGCGGUGGAGCAUGUGGUUUAAUUCGAAGCAACGCGAAGAACCUUACCAGCCCUUGACAUCGUACGACGACUUCCAGAGAUGGAUUUCUCCCUUCGGGGCGUACAGACAGGUGUUGCAUGGCUGUCGUCAGCUCGUGCCG
rnacentral:rRNA from 1 species